AUUCAACUGAAGUGACCCAGUAGAGCUAACAACUGUGAACGGUAUCAUUGCAAGAGUACUACGAACUAAAAGAUGAUCAAGUUAAUUUUCCUGGCAUUGUGUUUGGUCGCCGGUGCCUCUGCCGUCGUGCCAUGGGCGAGCAAUCCAGUCCUUCCUGGAUAUCCCGUGAUUUUUGUAUCAUGGAGCAGUUGGUCAUAUUUCUGUGACACCCUUUACAAAGCAGAGAAGCAGUGCUUUGARGACUGUAUGAAUGCAAACGGCAAGGGGAGCUAUAUCAAUCAGGCAAACAGUGUUGCCAGUACCUGUCCAGGAAACUUACCACAUUGUAGAGUUCCGUGGAGGCAGACCUCAUGUCAGUGUGCAAAACGUUGCGAAUGCAAACUUGCACGUUGUUAUAAUGCCAACUGCCAUUUCUGUCGUCAAUAAAGACAUCAAUGCAACUGACUGUGCCUGAACACGAAACGUAGCUGUAGUUUAGUAUACCAACUCUUGGUGAAUCCAAAUAAAGAGCCAAAUUUCAAAGUC